AACGCAUCUUGCGCCCUUUGGUAUUCCUUAGGGCAUGCCUGUUUGAGUGUCACGAAUAUCAUUUAGACCAUGUCUUUUUUUCCUACGUGUUAAGGAGACAAGGUCUAGCGUUGAGUGUUUGCCUCGUUCUUCGGAACUUGGCUCACUUUAAAUGGAUUAGCUGGGCUUGACUGGUUUCAGUCUUUUGACCAAUAGUAUGAUAAGUAUUAUGCUAUCAGUUGAAGGAAGGACUACCUAACGUCACCUGCUUCUAAUCAAGGAGUAGGCUGAGUUUACGCUCACCUACUCGCAACUAUUAUUCAAUCUGGCCUCAAAUCAGGUAGGACUACCCGCUGAACUUAA
rnacentral:misc_RNA from 1 species